GCAAGGAGGCAGGCGACCACGGUAGGGUCAGCGACUGGGGUGAAGUCGUAACAAGGUAGCCGUAGGGGAACCUGCGGCUGGAUCACCUCCUUUCUAAGG
rnacentral:rRNA from 1 species